rnacentral:rRNA from 1 species
GAUGAACGCUGGCGGCGUGCCUAAUACAUGCAAGUCGAGCGAACAGACGAGGAGCUUGCUCCUCUGACGUUAGCGGCGGACGGGUGAGUAACACGUGGAUAACCUACCUAUAAGACUGGGAUAACUUCGGGAAACCGGAGCUAAUACCGGAUAAUAUAUUGAACCGCAUGGUUCAAUAGUGAAAGACGGUUUUGCUGUCACUUAUAGAUGGAUCCGCGCCGCAUUAGCUAGUUGGUAAGGUAACGGCUUACCAAGGCAACGAUGCGUAGCCGACCUGAGAGGGUGAUCGGCCACGCUGGAACUGAGACACGGUCCAGACUCCUACGGGAGGCAGCAGUAGGGAAUCUUCCGCAAUGGGCGAAAGCCUGACGGAGCAACGCCGCGUGAGUGAUGAAGGUCUUCGGAUCGUAAAACUCUGUUAUUAGGGAAGAACAAAUGUGUAAGUAACUAUGCACGUCUUGACGGUACCUAAUCAGAAAGCCACGGCUAACUACGUGC